rnacentral:lncRNA from 1 species
AUUAUAGGUCAAUGUACGGCCUUCAACGCGGAGCCUUGGCUCACACCGAACAACAAGCUAUAAAGGGCCCCAAAAUUACUAGUGUAAAACCAUUUAAACGCGAAACCCAAUGGUCUAAUCUAUAUAAAAUUUAAAAAAACGAGAAAUGAGAAACACGUAUAAAUUACAUUAACAAACGACAACUACUGUACAUCAGAUUCCUGACUUAGGACAGGUGCAAACAUUUGCAGCGGGAUUAAACGUUUUAAUGGAUCCAAACCUUCUCCCUUUUUCUGAAACAAUAGCAUAACAUCACAACAUAGAAAAACACACGAUAAAAUAUCAAUUGGCAGGCUUAACUCAAUCAAAAAACGUACAUUAAUACACUAUGAACGAAUAAAUUUGAUCUGCGAUAUCUGAAUGCAAAUGCACAGUUAAUAAAAUAUUAGGGACAAACAUUCUAGGCCAAAAAGCAAACAAACAAUUCCAAACAAAGCCAUGUCAAGACA